GAUGAACGCUGGCGGCGUGCUUAACACAUGCCAGUCGAACGGAAAGGCUCCUGCUUGCAGGGGUACUCGAGUGGCGAACGGGUGAGUAACACGUGGGUGAUCUGCCCUGCACUUCGGGAUAAGCCUGGGAAACUAGGUCUAAUACCGGAUAGGACGAUGGUUUGGAUGCCAUUGUGGAAAGUUUUUCGGUGUGGGAUGAGCUCGCGGCCUAUCAGCUUGUUGGUGGGGUAAUGGCCUACCAAGGCGUCGACGGGUAGCCGGCCUGAGAGGGUGUACGGCCACAUUGGGACUGAGAUACGGCCCAGACUCCUACGGGAGGCAGCAGUGGGGAAUAUUGCACAAUGGGCGCAAGCCUGAUGCAGCGACGCCGCGUGGGGGAUGACGGCCUUCGGGUUGUAAACUCCUUUCGUCAGGGACGAAGCGAAAGUGACGGUACCUGGAUAAGAAGCACCGGCUAACUACGUG
rnacentral:rRNA from 1 species